rnacentral:rRNA from 1 species
UCCGAGAAGGGCAAGUGUUAUUCGUAUUGACUGGGCGUAAAGGGUAUGUAGGCUGUUAACUCAAUACGUGAUGUGAAAAUGCUGUGUAAUUUGUACAUAGAAGCACUGACUGAAAGCUUUAACUAGAGUUAAUCUCAGGAUUAUAGAAUUUUUUUUGUAGGGCUAAAAUCCGUUUUGAAAAAAAAGAAAAUGCCGAUUGUGAAGACAUUAAUCUGGAGUUGACUGACGCUGAGGUACGAAAGCGUGGGGAGCGAAUAGG